UGUGAGUGAGUGAGCGGGCGGGCGGGCGCGAGUGUGGCCGCCGCGGAGCGCGAGCAGGACCCGGCGGGCGCGCUCCCCCAGCCUCUCUCUCCCCGCCAGAACCAUGUCGGGCAGGUCGGUUCGAGCCGAGACCAGGAGCCGCGCCAAAGAUGAUAUCAAGAGGGUCAUGGCGGCUAUCGAGAAAGUGCGCAAAUGGGAGAAGAAGUGGGUGACUGUGGGUGACACAUCCCUGCGAAUCUACAAGUGGGUCCCUGUGACAGAGCCAAAGGUGGAUGAUAAGAACAAGAACAAGAAAAAGGGCAAAGAUGAGAAGUGCGGCUCAGAGGUGACCACUCCGGAGAACAGCUCCUCCCCGGGGAUGAUGGACAUGCACGACGACAACAGCAACCAGAGCUCCAUAGCAGACGCGUCCCCUAUCAAACAGGAGAACAGCAGUAACUCCAGCCCUGCUCCGGAGCCCGCCUCGGCCGCGCCUGUGGAAGGCACUGAAGCCAAGGCGGAUGAGACCCAGGCAGAUGGGAAGGAGCUCCCUGGGGCCGAAGAUGCUUCUGAUGAGCAGAAUUCACAGUCCUCAAUGGAAAACUCGAUGAACAGUUCAGAGAAAGUAGAACGGCAGCCAUCUGGAGACGCGGGUCUAGUUGCAGAGGCGUCCACAAUCUCUCAGGUACCUCGAUCCAGGCCUCAGAGGGGCAGCCAGAUCGGCCGGGAGCCCGUUGGGGUGUCGGGGGAUUUGGAAGGAGCCCCGGCCUCUAAGAAGAUGAAGCUGGAGGCCUCACAACAGAACUCCGAAGAGAUGUAGACACGACACGUUCAGUCCUGCUGUCCACACUUCCCGGGAGACCCAUCUGCAGGCUGAAUUCUAGAACAACUUCCCCCGAGCGAUUCCUCUCGGGGGCAGACAGAACUACUAACUUUCCAAGUUUACCAAGUGCAAAUCCAAGAAAACCCAGAACAGCGUAACUUCUCAGACACUGAAGAACUUUCUGCUGUGAAGCAAAACACUUGAGUCUCGAAGGGACUGUCCUUGGGAAGGCGGAGUUGACAGCGCUCAGGAGUGUCUGCACACUGUCUCCGAAGCCAAGAUUACAUUUGUGUUGCUGCUGUAUUGUUUCGUUACCCCCUCCGCCACCCCCCACUUCUCUAUUUAACGAUAUAAGCUAUAUGUGAGGGUGGUGCCGAUCAGGAAAUCGGUUUUCGUCGGGGCUUUUCACUAUUCAGCCGAUUCCUUCCGCUUUCUUUUUUUGUGCCUUGUGCCCUUGAGGUGACCUCUGGCAUGUUUUCCUGGUUGUUUUGCAUCUCCCUUUGCAAAGUGCCCUCGGUUUUGUCCAGGCAGCCGGUGCCACCGUCCUCAACAUCUCUCUCCUCCCUGACCCGGGACUUCAGCUGGAGCGGAGCAGGCGAGGAGGAGGGGAAACUGAGGCCUCAGAAGAGCGGGACCCUCCUUGGCCACCUGAUUUGCAGGUGCAGGGGGGAGGGGUCGGGCACGCCCUGGGCCCUGCCUGGGUCCUGGGUCCAAGGUCCGAGGCGUCUAUGAUGUCGCUGGGACACUGUCCCCGAGGGCGGGCCACUGGAUGUGCUCUCGCUUCCUCGGGGCGUCUGAGGCCGCUGUUUCCAAGCCCACCGUGGCCCAGAUGGAUACACAGAACCCUUAGGUCGCCCUGGCACUCCCACCCUCCACCCCCACCAUCCCGCUUUCUCCCACACCUCCGAAGACGAAGCGGCUUCUGUGGCAGAACGCAGGACUGCCUCCUUACGACGACGAAAGGGCCGUGGAGGCCCGGCGCACAUGGCAGGAAUAGCUGGUGCUGAACUUUCUCUCCUAGUGUGUUGCCUGGAUUUCAAAUCCACAGUAACCUGCUGCCCUCCGCCUCCCCGGCUCCACUGGGCUCCUCCAACCCCACCCCACCCCCCGCCCGGCGGAGGCGAGAUCACAAAGUGUUCCUGACUCUUCAGAGCCAACAAUAGUCAAUCGCCUCUCGCUCCCAGGAUGCGCUGACGGUCCCCACUGGGGAGCAGACCCUGAGGAUUGGGCCUCAAAGGCCAGAAACCAGGCACCGGGGAGCAGAAAGCUCUACACUCCUCCAGAAAGGGGUAACUGAGUCCCCCUCCCGGGUCUCGUCCUUGCCUCCGCCAGGACAGCUUCCUCUCACUCAAAUGGCGACGCCCCCUGUGGACGAACUGCCUGAUUGCUUGGUUCUGAGGCCUGGUUUGCUCUUAAUUCCUAGAUGGACUCCUCGGACCUUAACCCUUUUCCUGAGCUUUCUUUACUGCACUGGAGUUCAACUUCCUUUGAGUUGUGUGAGGGGGUGGGAGGGUUGGAGGGGGAUAUUUUGUUGUUGUUUUGUGGUUUUUUUGUUUGCGUUUUCGUUUUGCUGAUUGGUGCGUAUAUUCAGGUACCACCUUUGACGUGUGGAUCUCUCUCCUGACCACCGUGGGAAGUGUCUGCCAGAUUCCAGUUCCUAAGUUUCUGAGGCAAAACUCCAUUUUGACGAAAGAUGAAUUUGGAUAUUUAUCUCCUUUCUUUUUUGGGAAAUGAGAGGUUAGAACCAAGACAGCUGAAGAAGAAUCACACGUGCAUCCAAGGAAUGCCACGUCGGCCGGGGUCCCCGGGGCCCCUGCCGCUUGCUGUGGCCUCUCUGGACAGGCAAGGGGAGUCAGCGUGGCUGAGGCUGAAGACAACAUCCACGAUACUGAGGCUGUCAUUAGUUUUUCUCUGAAGUGCCUGAUGAAGGUAGGAAGGGGCCUGUGGCC